GAAUUAAGUCUUUUUUAGCUAAAAAAUGAACAAAACCUGAGAUGCAUGAGUGUCCUUACCAAAAGGAAGUCCUUGUUUCUAGGACAGGUCUGUCUUCGGGCCUGUGGGUCCAUAGAAUCAUCACAGAAAAAAUGAUUUCAGGAGGUCUCCCCCGCUUUCUGCUCCCAAGGCCGACUCUGACUGAGCCUCGGAGGAGAGAAGGAAGCCAUUUCUGGGAGGCCAAAACGUCCGUCUUCCAGGCUCUUGCUGUAAGUCAGCCCACUUUUACAGAUGAGGAACCAAGACCCAGGGAAGAUGGCAGAGUUGGGCCUAAAUGAGCACCAUCAAAAUGAAGUUAUUAAUUAUAUGCGUUUUGCUCGUUCAAAGAGAGGCUUGAGACUCAAAACUGUAGAUUCCUGCUUCCAAGACCUCAAGGAGAGCAGGCUGGUGGAGGACACCUUCACCAUAGAUGAAGUCUCUGAAGUCCUCAAUGGAUUACAAGCUGUGGUUCAUAGUGAGGUGGAAUCUGAGCUCAUCAACACUGCCUAUACCAAUGUG
rnacentral:lncRNA from 1 species